rnacentral:rRNA from 1 species
CAAUAGCGUAUAUUAAAGUUGUUGCAGUUAAAAAGCUCGUAGUUGGAUUUCUGGUGGGAGCGAUCGGUCCGCCCCGCAAGGGGUGUGUACUAGCGUCGUCUCCGGCCAUCCUUGUGGGAACUGCUCUGUCCUUAGUUGGAUGGGGUUUGGGAACACAUCGUUUACUGUGAAAAAAUUAGAGUGUUUAAAGCAGGCUUAGGCCGUUGAAUACAUUAGCAUGGAAUAAUAAGAUAGGACUUUGGAACUAUUUUGUUGGUUUGCGUUACAAAGUAAUGAUUAAUAGGGACAGUUGGGGGUAUUCGUAUUUCGUUGUCAGAGGUGAAAUUCUUGGAUUUCCGAAAGACGAACUACUGCGAAAGCAUUUACCAAGGAUGUUUUCAUUAAUCAAGAACGAAAGUUAGGGGA